rnacentral:tRNA from 1 species
GCCGGGGUGGUGAAACUGGUAGACGCGCUGGACUCAAAAUCCAGUGAGCUUCGGCUCGUGUGGGUUCGAGUCCCACCCCCGGCACCA